rnacentral:tRNA from 1 species
GUGGCUCAGUGGUGAAGGCACAUGACUAGGACCCAUGAGGACGCAGGUUCGAUCCCUGGCC